ACGAGGAGGAAGGAGCUGCGCACGGAGCGGCGGUGGCAGCGGCCCCUGCCCGGGCUACGGCGGGGACGGAGCCCGCGGGUGUCCGGCCGCGGUGUCCCCCGUGUCCCCACGUGCAGGCUCCUCCGUGUUGCUCUCUGAAAGCAUUUCAAGCUCCACAUGCAGAAGCUGUUUCUCAGUGAGCAGCUGUGGGGCAUUUGGCUGAUGGUUUUGACAGCAGAGAUGAAUUGAGGACGUGGCAUCUGCAGUCCUGACCUGGAAUUUGAACCCUUUAGUGCCUCUCCCUCCUCCCAGAUGGAGAGGAGGCGGAAGAUCUCGGAAUCUUCUGAUUGCCAUCGAUCUGAUUUUGCUGAGCACUGGCCUCGUAUCACAUCUGUGUGUUCCUUGAGAGAUGAUUUCAAUCUGUAAAAAACCCCUACGUUUUUUGUCAUCUGUGUCCAAAACCUCCAGCAGAAACUCCAUGAUUGGAGCAAUUUGGUCCGAUGCCAUGAGAAGGGACUGCUCCACACACUUUAGGAAGAGCAAAAAGGAGAAAGAAAAGAAGGUGAAACCCUCUGUGCUGUGCCUGAUCACUCAUCAAAGGCAGCUGCCUCCUGUGCUGGCUUGAGGGCGUGACAGAUGUCUGUAGCCUUUACAGGUGCAGGGCCUGCAUUUCAUCAGUCUUUUUUCCAUGGAUGACCUGGAGUGUGGUUUAUUAGCAGCUCAGAUUUCUUUGGCCAAGGUGCUUUGUUGUGUACACAUCCGGGUUAAAGCUAAGCAAUAUUUCUGAUCCAUGUAGGAUUCUGACUUGGUCCUGCGUCUCUGGUGUUUACAAAAUGAUCAGAGUUUGAACUCUCUCUGUUCUGUUUCUUAAAUGUCAGCAGAAACUUCUUCUUAUUUUUUUAAAAUAAAACAAUGCAGCCUUCCCCUGCAAUGUUUGUAACCAAGAAACUGUGGCAUCACAAGAGCAUGAGGAAACACUGGCUGAUUAAAACCAGGGUAAGAAAUGACA